CACAAGCGGCGGAGCAUGCGGAUUAAUUCGAUGCAACGCGUAAGAACCUUACCAAGGCUUGACAUACACCGGUAACGCCCAGAGAUGGGUGCCCCUUUGUGGUCGGUGUACAGGUGGUGCAUGGUUGUCGUCAGCUCGUGUCGUGAGAUGUUGGGUUAAGUCCCGCAACGAGCGCAACCCUCGUCCUAUGUUGCCAGCGGGUCAUGCCGGGGACUCAUGGGAGACUGCCGGGGUCAACUCGGAGGAAGGUGGGGAUGACGUCAAAUCAUCAUGCCCCUUAUGUCUUGGGCUUCACGCAUGCUACAAUGGCCGGUACAAAGGGCUGCGAUACCGCGAGGUGGAGCGAAUCCCAGAAAGCCGGUCUCAGUUCGGAUUGGGGUCUGCAACUCGACCCCAUGAAGUCGGAGUCGCUAGUAAUCGCAGAUCAGCAACGCUGCGGUGAAUACGUUCCCGGGCCUU
rnacentral:rRNA from 1 species